CACUCCUGCGGGAGGCAGCAGUGGGGAAUAUUGGACAAUGGGCGCAAGCCUGAUCCAGCCAUGCCGCGUGAGUGAUGAAGGCCCUAGGGUUGUAAAGCUCUUUCACCGGAGAAGAUAAUGACGGUAUCCGGAGAAGAAGCCCCGGCUAACUUCGUGCCAGCAGCCGCGGUAAUACGAAGGGGGCUAGCGUUGUUCGGAAUUACUGGGCGUAAAGCGCACGUAGGCGGAUCGAUCAGUCAGGGGUGAAAUCCCAGGGCUCAACCCUGGAACUGCCUUUGAUACUGUCGAUCUGGAGUAUGGAAGAGGUGAGUGGAAUUCCGAGUGGAGAGGUGAAAUUCGUAGAUAUUCGGAGGAACACCAGUGGCGAAGGCGGCUCACUGGUCCAUUACUGACGCUGAGGUGCGAAAGCGUGGGGAGCAAACAGGAUUAGAAACCCGGGUAGUCCC
rnacentral:rRNA from 1 species